UAAGUGACACCGAUUGAACUUGUGUAUUUAUGUAUUUCAUGUAAUUUCAUAUGUCUUCUUUACAGAUAUUAAUGAAUCUACUGACAACAAAGAUAAAUCUCUGUCCACUGAUCUGACUAACUCCACUUGUAAUGUACCUGUGGCUGCUGUGGGCUCCAUCACCAUCGCUGUUGUUAUCUUAAUUUGUUACAGCAGUUUUUUCUAAUGAAGAAGUCAAAGACAAAGACGGAAUCAACACAACAGUCAAAAUGCAGAGGGACCAGAGGAAAAAGACAUGAUGUGAGCCACAAUUUAAUGCUGUGAACGCUGCCAACAGCCUUUGAGCAUCACUGAAGCCUCUGACAUCUGAGGUGAAGACACACAAAUACACAGACCUUCAUCAGAAGCCACAUCAGUCAGCCAACAGAUGUCACAAUAAAGUCCUCCAGUGAAUGAAUGUGAACAAAUGAAUGUCCUUGAAGGUGCUAUUGAGAUUUGGUAAGGAAACAUUAAGGUUCUUGUCCAUUUUCUGCCAAAUGCACUGUAUUGUAGCAGCUGAGAUCAUGGGCCGAUCCGCUGAGGUUGUAUGUGCACAGGGAGAGCAUAGUUUGUACUGUAGUUAAUGUCAGGGUGUUUGUGUUAUCUGCAAUGUAAUUUACAUUUACCAAAAAAAGCAUGAAGAGCAGGAUGAAACCUGACUCUUUGCAAAGUAGCAAAAAUGCAAACGAGCAGAAUGCAAAGAGAAAUGCUGAUGAGCAAGAGGCAGAAAACAACACAGACAAACAUCUCCGUUCUGAAGUUAUGAAGCUGCAUCAGAACUAUAGAGAAUGUCUGCAGAAUGUGUCAGUUAGGGAAUAACAUGACUCACUGUAAAAGCUAAGAUGGGAUUGUCUUCCUGCAAUUAAUCUAUAUCUGACUUAUCCAUUGAUUUGGGUUAAAACUGUUACUGGGUUAUGAAGUUGUUUAUUCAUUUACAACAUUAAAGUCAGUUUUGUGUCUGUUUAGUGAGAGGAAGCAAGUACAUCAAAUACAAAUACUGAGGGCAGUGAUACAGUUAAUGGAGGUUUGCUGCUGUGGUUACAAUAAUUUGCACAUUUUCCCAACUUGGAACAGACACAAAUUAGAAGCAGGUCUCAACAAUCAUUGCCAGAAAACCUGAUCUAAUUCUGUUUAAGCAGUUACACCAGUCUGUGUUUGUCAAACAUCAGACCUUUGUAGCUUGUACAUAGCAGUUCCAGUGAUAAUGUUUCACAAAUAGGAAACAUUAUCACUGCCACCAGUAACAGUAUCGAAUUAUAUUUUUUUAAGUCAGCAUCUCUGACACAUGCUGAACCAUUUUAGUAAUGCCAACACAUUUGUAAAAACAAUUGUUUUCCUGCACUGCAGCGAUUUUUAGUUCUGGGAUUUUGGUUUACAGCUCAAUCCUGAGGUUCAGUGAUUUCACGUGUAGUUAUUUACUUACCUGUGUUUUUAGUCAUCCUGCAGAGUUUGUGUCUUGUGUUUUAACAUUUAAUAAACCUAUUAAUUAUCAUUCAUU